rnacentral:rRNA from 1 species
AGCAGCCGCGGUAAUUCCAGCUCCAAUAGCGUAUAUUAAAGUUGUUGCAGUUAAAAAGCUCGUAGUUGAAUUUCGGGGUUAGUAGGUUGGUCAUGCCACUGGUAUGUACUGGUCUCACUGAUUCCUCCUUCCUGAUGAGCCGUAAUGCCAUUAAUUUGGUGUUGCGAGGAAUCUGGACUGUUACUUUGAAAAAUUAGAGUGUUUAAAGCAAGCUAACGCUUGAAUACAUUAGCAUGGAAUAAUGAAAUAGGACGUUCGAUCCUAUUUUGUUGGUUUCUAGGAUUGACGUAAUGAUUAAUAGGGAUAGUUGGGGGCAUUAGUAUUCAAUUGUCAGAGGUGAAAUUCUUGGAUUUAUUGAAGACUAACUACUGCGAAAGCAUUUGCCAAGGAUGUUUUCAUUAAUCAAGAACGAAAGUUAGGGGAUCGAAGACGAUCAGAUACCGUCGUAGU